GUGGUUGCCAGGUGGGGCCUCUCUACUAGUGCUGUGCAGAGGCUUUUGCUGAGGCUUCUGUGAGAUUGUAGUGUUUCCCCCUGGGCCAUAGAGCCGG
rnacentral:pre_miRNA from 1 species